GGGUUGUGAGGUUAAGUGACUAAGCGUACACGGUGGAUGCCUAGGCAGUCAGAGGCGAUGAAGGACGUGCUAAUCUGCGAUAAGCGUCGGUAAGCUGAUAUGAAGCGUUAUAACCGACGAUUUCCGAAUGGGGAAACCCAGUGCAAUUCGUUGCACUAUCGUUAAGUGAAUACAUAGCUUAACGAAGCGAACCAGGGGAACUGAAACAUCUAAGUACCCUGAGGAAAAGAAAUCAACCGAGAUUCCCCUAGUAGCGGCGAGCGAACGGGGAGCAGCCCAGAACCUUAAUCAGCGUAUGUGUCAGAGGAACGGUCUGGAAAGUCCGGCGAUACAGGGUGAUAGCCCCGUACUUGAAAAUGCAUAUGUUGUGAGUUCGAUGAGUAGGGCGGGACACGUGA
rnacentral:rRNA from 2 species